GAGGUGCUUGCACCUUAUCUUAGCGGCGGACGGGUGAGUAAUGCUUAGGAAUCUACCUAUUAGUGGGGGACAACGUUUCGAAAGGAACGCUAAUACCGCAUACGUCCUACGGGAGAAAGCAGGGGACCUUCGGGCCUUGCGCUAAUAGAUGAGCCUAAGUCGGAUUAGCUAGUUGGUGGGGUAAAGGCCUACCAAGGCGACGAUCUGUAGCGGGUCUGAGAGGAUGAUCCGCCACACUGGGACUGAGACACGGCCCAGACUCCUACGGGAGGCAGCAGUGGGGAAUAUUGGACAAUGGGGGGAACCCUGAUCCAGCCAUGCCGCGUGUGUGAAGAAGGCCUUUUGGUUGUAAAGCACUUUAAGCGGGGAAGAGGCUACUUAGAUUAAUACUCUAGGAUAGUGGACGUUACCCGCAGAAUAAGCACCGGCUAACUCUGUGCCAGCAGCCGCGGUAAUACAGAGGGUGCGAGCGUUAAUCGGAUUUACUGGGCGUAAAGCGUGCGUAGGUGGUCUUUUAAGUCGGAUGUGAAAUCCCUGAGCUUAACUUAGGAAUUGCAUUCGAUACUGGGAGACUAGAGUAUGGGAGAGGAUGGUAGAAUUCCAGGUGUAGCGGUGAAAUGCGUAGAGAUCUGGAGGAAUACCGAUGGCGAAGGCAGCCAUCUGGCCUAAUACUGACACUGAGGCACGAAAGCAUGGGGAGCAAACAGGAUUAGAUACCCUGGUAGUCCAUGCCGUAAACGAUGUCUACUAGCCGUUGGGGUCUUUGAGACUUUAGUGGCGCAGCUAACGCGAUAAGUAGACCGCCUGGGGAGUACGGUCGCAAGACUAAAACUCAAAUGAAUUGACGGGGGCCCGCACAAGCGGUGGAGCAU
rnacentral:rRNA from 1 species